rnacentral:lncRNA from 1 species
UAACAAUACCAUUCAAACCUAAAAAUAUUAAAUAAAAAAUUGUGAAAUCACAUAAUUGCACUGGAAUGUACAUUUGAUUGAGGCCGUUAAAGCUGUUAAUUUGGCAACACACAUUUAACUAUAUAACCUUGCCACUUGAGCAAAACAUUGUUUGUAAGAGUUGUCUAACUUGGGACCAAAAUGUUUUAAGGUUGCAAACAAGCAUCCAAACAUACUAUCCACACUAAUCUGUAUCCACACUUGUUUUAGGUAGCAAAUAAAAAUUAUUUUGUUUACAUACACGUAGAAACAUUAUUGUUAGAUUAUUAUAGUAGUUUAUUUUUUCAAUGUUUAACAUAAUUGUUUUUUUCUUCAGUUGAUUUUAAAGGAAUCAGACCAUUAGAUUUCAGGUUUGAAUUGUUUGAAAUUUUCUCUUGGCAGGGCAUUUUAUAGAUGACUAUACAAUAUUAGAUUUGCCCAUUGAUGAAGGCUAAAUGGUGAUUUAUCUCUGGUGGAUAGUCGUCUAAUUGUUGAAGGUUGUCUAAUUGGCUACCAUAGCACAUCUUCCUUUAUUUACAAAGGCAGUUAUUUUGACUUGUACAUAAAAGUUCUUUGGCAUUUCAUAACAAAUACUAAAGACAAGAAAACAUUUUUACAAAAUUAACAAUUAUUAACGAACAACAAUAUGUUUUCUUUUUAUACAAACUACAUAUA